CCUACGGGGGGCUGCAGUGGGGAAUAUUGGACAAUGGGGGCAACCCUGAUCCAGCCAUGCCGCGUGUGUGAAGAAGGCCCUCGGGUUGUAAAGCACUUUCAGUGAGGAAGAACGCCUGGUGGUUAAUACCCAUCAGGAAAGACAUCACUCACAGAAGAAGCACUGGCUAACUCCGUGCCAGCAGCCGCGGUAAUACGGAGGGUGCGAGCGUUAAUCGGAAUUACUGGGCGUAAAGCGCGCGUAGGUGGCUUGAUAAGCCGGUUGUGAAAGCCCCGGGCUCAACCUGGGAACGGCAUCCGGAACUGUCAAGCUAGAGUGCAGGAGAGGAAGGUAGAAUUCCCGGUGUAGCGGUGAAAUGCGUAGAGAUCGGGAGGAAUACCAGUGGCGAAGGCGGCCUUCUGGACUGACACUGACACUGAGGUGCGAAAGCGUGGGUAGCAAACAGGAUUAGAUACCCUGGUAGUC
rnacentral:rRNA from 1 species